GUAAAAUAUAUGCUUCAUCUUAAUAAAAACAUCUUUUUUGUUUCAAUUUUAAUAGUUGAAAAAGAAACGUAAUAUAGAUCGAAUCACGUUAAGUCUUAACUAAUUUUCAUCAGCCAAUACUUUUAACAUGAUUGACAUAUUUCUUCAGAAAGAUGUUAAGAAGUUACUCAAAAAUAAAAAUAUUGUCUUUAUGGGAGAUUCUAAUAUAAGAGCUUUAUAUAAAGAUAUACUUUGCUUGUUGGACAAAAAUAGACUCAUUGCCCAGAGUAU